rnacentral:lncRNA from 1 species
GGUCCUGUUUGUGUUCAUUUUGUCCAGCUUUCUAGUACAUGAUUUGGUGGGAGCUCUGCAACCCUUCAUAGAAGGUGGGUAGGUAGUGCGUUUCCACUUUGAUGCUGAGCCAGGUCUAGUGUUGUUUUGUAAGGCCGGGUUAGAGUACCCCUUGUACUUGCUUUUUUGUUGAAUAAAUUCUUUUGAUUAUAAAAAAUUAAAUUAAAUUUUCUUGUUUAGUUUUAAUUUUCUUAUACGUACUAUCAACUUGAAGUGAAACAUGACUUGCCAUUAGCUGGUUUGGUUGAUAAUUUGAAGCGUGUUUAUCAAGCUUUCUCUAAAACUGUGUUUAUGUGAUACUCAGUUUAUUUGAAAAAAUUGUAUUUCAGGAAGAACAACCUUGAAUGUGGAGAGUUUUAGCUGCUAUCACAAUAUCUACAAUUUUGAAGAUCAACAUCUGAUCAAGGCAACAUGACGAGUGAUUGAUAUCAUCAUUGAGUAGUNNNNNNUCACGUCAUGAAAUCAAAGAAGUUCCAGCUCUUGCACCAACUUUUGAACAAUUCUCAUGUUAUGUCUAUUGGGUUAUCAUCACCAUCGUUGCAAUUAUUACUCAGGUUAAAUGCCUCACUCCUGACUCAUGCGCUUUAUUGUUAUUAUUAUUGUUGAGACCUUGUACAUAAUUAAUUUAGCUACAUUAAUACAAUUAACAGUCACUAAUAAUUUUCAUUUUACUUUCAGGGAACCAAUUUAUGAGAAGCCGUUCGGAACUUGAAUGGUACCACGAUUCAAACUAAUGGUGUAAAGAAGUGUAAAUAACUCUCUGAAAACUUUAUGUCCACUCAAUGUCAUGGAUACUAUGCUAAUUAAACUAUCAAAAUGUUGCAUGAUAAAAAUUUAUCUUC